AGCGCAGGUGGUUGUAUAAGUCUGAAGUAAAAGGCAGUGGCUCAACCAUUGUGUGCUUUGGAAACUGUACAACUUGAGUGCAGAAGGGGGAGAGUGGAAUUCCAUGUGUAGCGGUGAAAUGCGUAGAUAUAUGGAGGAACACCGGUGGCGAGAGCGGCUCUCUGGUCUGUAACUGACACUGAGGCUCGAAAGGCGUGGGAGCAAACA
rnacentral:rRNA from 1 species